rnacentral:piRNA from 1 species
GAGACAAUCUAGCGUGGCUUGAGGUGGC